GCGGCCGCAGCUUGCUUAUGGACAGCGCUAACAGAGAUCACAGUGGGACCACAGAAGGAACCCAGGCCCUCAUCAACUGGCGUAUUCCCAAUGAGGGCCUAUUUACAGGCAGGAGGAACUCCUCCAAAACCGAAUGGCAGACAAGAAGGUGGAACAAUUCGCACGUCACCCACCAAUGGCACCGACUGCUCCUUUGAGCGCCUCGAUCCCGGCAAGGCGGGCAAAACCAGCACCCACUCCCUCCAAAUCUUGUCUUUUUGGGAAGAAAUUUUUUUUUAAUGAUCCCCAUCAAGGAGUUCAUGACUCUGUGCACCACCUGGCACACAGGGGCAUCACAAAGAUGUCGGCUGUUUCCCUAUAGGAUGCACCGCCGCCAGCCAGAAGAGGGUCACCAGCACUCUCCUUAUCCUCACAUGUUUUGUU